rnacentral:tRNA from 1 species
CCAACUUUAGUUUAAAUUUAUAGAAUGUGGGUUUUGGGGAUCUAAGGUCUCGUUACGAGAAGUUUGA